rnacentral:lncRNA from 1 species
UUUUAUUUUUAAUCUUGGUUUGGGUCUUUUUUUCCUCCCCUUUUAUUCCCAAAUAAAGUUUUGAUUUUUAAUCCCAAAUUCGGGUUUUUUUAUUCCCCUUUUAUUCCCAAAGAAAGUUUUUAUUUUUAUUUUUAAUCCCAGUUUGGUUUUUUUCCCCUUUUAUUCCCAAAGAAAAUUUUCAUUUUUAUUUUUAAAGUUUUUAUUUUUAUUUUUAACCCCAGUUUGAGGAUUUUUUCCCCCCUUUCCAGGUGUUUUUUUUGAGGGAAUUUUGGGUCAUUCCCCAUCUCAAAAUUCCAGGAUUUGGGAGUUUGGGAUGGUCCUUGGGGGAGAGGGAAACUGAGGCAGAAAAAAACCCAAAAUUUGGGGAAAAUCCCCCAAAAUUCAGUGGGAAAAAAAACCCCAAAAUUCAGGAAAAAAAUCUCCAAAAUCCAGUGCAAAAAACCCCAAAACUCAGGAAAGAAUCCCCCAAAAUUCAGGGAAAAAACCCUCAAAAUUCAGGCAAAAAUUCCCCAAAAUUCAGGGGAAAUUCGCAAAAAUUCAGUGGAAGAAUCCCCAAAAUUCAGAGAAAAAUCCCUCGAAAUUCAGGGGAAAAUAAUCCUAAAAUUUUGAAAAAUUCCCCCAAAAUUUGGGGAAAAUCCCACAAAAUUUGGGAAAAAUCCCCCAAAAAUUCAGGGAAAAGCCCUCAAAAUUCAGGAGAAAAUCUCCCAAAAAUCAGUGGGAAAAAACCCCCAAAAUUCAGGAAAAAAUCCCCCAAAAAUUUGGAAAAAAAUCCCCCAAAAUUUGGGAAAAUCCCCCAAAAUUCAGGAGGAAAUGCCCCAAAAUUCAGUGGAAAAAACCCCAAAAUUUGGGGAAAAGUCCCAAAAAUUCAGGAGAAAAUCACACAAAAUUCAGUGGGGGAAAAACCCCAAAAUUCAGGUAAAAUCUGCCCAAAAUUCAGAGAAAAUUCCCCAAAAUUCAGUGGGAAUAAAACCCAAAAUUUGGGGAAAAUCCCCCAAAAUUUGGGAUCCCAGGGAAGGGAAACUGAGGCAGGGAAACCCCCUGGGGAAACUGAGGCACGAGGGAGAUUUUGG